UGCCCUAGUAACGGCGAGUGAAGCGGCAACAGCUCAAAUUUGAAAUCUGGCUUUCGGGCCCGAGUUGUAAUUUGUAGAGGAUGAUUUUGAUGCGGUGCCUUCCGAGUUCCCUGGAACGGGACGCCAUAGAGGGUGAGAGCCCCGUCUGGUUGGAUGCCAAAUCUCUGUAAAUCUCCUUCGACGAGUCGAGUAGUUUGGGAAUGCUGCUCUAAAUGGGAGGUAUAUGUCUUCUAAAGCUAAAUACCGGCCAGAGACCGAUAGCGCACAAGUAGAGUGAUCGAAAGAUGAAAAGCACUUUGAAAAGAGAGUUAAAAAGUACGUGAAAUUGUUGAAAGGGAAGCGUUUAUGACCAGACUUGGGCUUGGUUAAUCAUCUGGGGUUCUCUCCAGUGCACUUUUCCAGCCCAGGCCAGCAUCAGUUUUCGCCGGGGGAUAAAGACUUCGGGAAUGUGGCUCCCCUCGGGGAGUGUUAUAGCCCGUUGUGUAAUACCCUGGUGGGGACUGAGGUUCGCGCUUCUGCAAGGAUGCUGGCGUAAUGGUCAUCAACGACCCGUCUUGAAACACGGACCAAGGAGUCGUCUUCGUAUGCGAGUGUUCGGGUGUCAAACCCCUACGCGUAAUGAAAGUGAACGCAGGUGAGAGCUUCGGCGCAUCAUCGACCGAUCCUGAUGUUCUCGGAUGGAUUUGAGUAAGAGCAUACGGGGCCGGACCCGAAAGAAGGUGAACUAUGCCUGUGUAGGGUGAAGCCAGAGGAAACUCUGGUGGAGGCUCGCAGCGGUUCUGACGUGCAAAUCGAUCGUCAAACAUGGGCAUG
rnacentral:rRNA from 1 species